AUUGAACGCUGGCGGCGUGCUUAACACAUGCAAGUCGAUCGGUAACGCGGGGGCAACCCUGGCGACGAGAGGCGGACGGGUGAGGAACGCUUGGGAAUCUGCCCUUCAGCGGGGGACAACACGGGGAAACUCGUGCUAAUACCGCAUACGCUCCACGGAGGAAAGCCGGGGACCGCAAGCCCUGGCACUGAAGGAUGAGCCCAAGUCGGAUUAGCCAGUUGGCGGGGUAACGGGCCACCAAGGCGACGAUCCGUAGCUGGUCUGAGAGGACGAUCAGGCACACUGGGACUGAGACACGGCCGCGACUCCUACGGGAGGAAGCAGUGGGGAAUAUUGGACAAUGGGGGAAACCCUGAUCCAGCGACGCCGCGUGGGUGAAGAAGGCCUGCGGGUUGUAAAGCCCUUUCGGUAGGGACGAAAGCUCUCGACCUAACACGUCGGGAGGUUGACUUAACCUACAAAAGAAGCACCGGCUAACUCUGUGCCAGCCGCCGCGGUAAUAC
rnacentral:rRNA from 1 species